rnacentral:sRNA from 1 species
AUCGAUGACGGGAUCGACAUAUGCUUCAGCUCCUGUUUUAGUCGAGAGCACAAAGCUGGAUGCGAGCGGGACAUCGACGUGCCGAAAGGCAGGGUUGGGGCUCUUUACUGUACGCGCCCAAAGCCAUGCGAUGACGGUAAGCUGUUGUCCGACCAAAGGCCUAAGGUCGGGGCGUUCCUUCGCC